rnacentral:rRNA from 1 species
AUGAGAAGAAACUUCCUGUGGAAUGACGAUGAGGAGGCUCACUGUGGGAAGUGCCUGGCAAACUUGAGACGAUUUUGUGCGCCAAAGUCUGUUGGUGGACUCGGCAUCGAAGACCUUGCCGCUUUCAGCAGAGCACUGAGACUGAGAUGGGCUUGGUUUGAGUGGGAUAACCAUGAUAGACCAUGGAAAGGGACACCGACUCCUUGUGAUAGUUCUGAUAUGCAACUCUUCAAAUGUUGCACAAAAAUAUCCAUCGGCGAUGGCUCACGAGCCCUUUUUUGGAUUGAUCGAUGGAUGGAUGGAGUUGCUCCGAGGGAGGUGGCGCCCCAGCUGUUUUACCUCGCCCGUCAUAAGCAGACCACGGUUGCUGAUGCUCUUCAGGAAGGAAAAUGGAUGAUAGGACUGCAGCGAUUGAACUCAGCCGAGAUACUUCGCUCCUUCGUCCUCCUUUGGCACCAGGCCCAGCAAGUCCAGCUCGGCAACGCUACGGAUGUGAUUAGGUGGACCCUGUCUGCUACUGGGAUUUACUCUGCCAAGUCGGCGUAUAUACAACAAUUCAUCACACGCCUACCACUGCCCCGCCUGCUAAACGUAUGGAGGACCUCUUUUUUCAGGUGA